AUAAAGUUAUGAAAGAAUCAAAAAACUCUUUAAAAAAAAUGAACAAAAUUGGAGGGAGUGGUGUGUAAGUCUGCCGGUUUGUUCCGCAGAGGAAACCGCAAUCAAUAGAAGAGAGGGAACCAAAUUCCCAUGAAGUUCAAGAGACAACAGCAAUGGCAGAGAACAACGAGAAAGAAAUCCAAAUCCGAACCCUAACUGGUGAAUCCACUACUCUUCACAUCACUCCCUCCGCCACCGUCCAACACCUCAAGCUCCUCCUCAACCACUCAUUCUCACCCGCCACAAACUCCCCAAAUUUCCACCUCUUUUUCAAGGGUGAAAAAUUGCGAUUGCAGGCAAAGAUUGGUUCUUACCCAAUUCAACUAGGCGAGUUUCUCGUCCUGGUUCCCUUUUCCAAGAAGGAUUCAACUUCAACCGGGACGCAAAACCCGGACCCGGUUCUCGAUUCUUCAAAUGUUGCUAACAGCGCCUCUGGUUCAACCUCUAACCUUGCUGAUUCCACAUGGUCUAAUAUCAUGGAGGAUUUGUCGCAUUUGCGUGAUGGCACCGCUGAAUGUGGCGAUAACAGUGCAUCUAAUUCAGAGUUUGGAGCAUUUGCUUCUGAACCAAGUAAAGGGGGUUUAGGUUUAGGUUUAGGUUUAGGUCAGGAGAAGCAGAUUGAGCUUCCUUAUCAUCUCAUACUGAACACGCUGGAUUGUACUUGCGUUUUCAGUGAGCAUAAUUGCGAGGUUUUUUCGAAGGUUUUGGAGUCUGUGAACUGUUUAUCUGACCUGCCUCUGGGACACUGCAAGCUGUUGAGAAAAGCACGUUUGGAGGGAGCUUUUGUCAAGGGUGGUGUUACAUGCUUGUGUCCACCAUGGUUGAAGACAGUAGUAAAGGCGUUUGCUUUCAUAAACAUUUUCUCCGCGUUUCUUCAUUUGCAGCGUCGAAACAUUACUGCAUUUUUACUGGAAGAGGCACUUAAUCAGGUUGCCAAGUUUGGAGUCAAACUUGGUCUUCAUGACGUGAAGCAUCUUUCCCUUCUUUGUCCUAAUCUAGUGUGUUUUGUGGAUGAAGUAGAGAAGGCAAGUUUUGGUGAUGUCAUUGUUGUAGUUAACCAUUCAACCAGUGAUAAAGAUCAAGUUGAAGAUAAUCCUAGUGGAGCUCGCAAGUGGUUGUCUGCUUCAAAGAUUGUCAGUACAUUGAAGAGAAGGGACAGUUCUUUCCGAAAAUAUCUAGGGUGGGCUUUUGAGCAGAUGCCGUUUGAAUUUGGAGAUGAGAUGGCAGUUGGAACUACCUUGGAAGAAAUGCUUGCAGCAAUUAAAGACCAUAGUUUUGUUGGAAAAGAAAACAAAUCAAAACGUGUAAAGAGAAGCUCAACUACUAAAAAACCUGACAACCACAUUGGAUGUCAUGACACUAAAUCAUUACUGGCUGUGGACAUGGUUGAACAUCUUAAGAAAGGAAUUGGAUCUGAAGGACAGAUUGUGUACAUUGAAGACAUAUGUGCUAGAAAAGCCACUUUCAGCGAGAUCCCAACUGAACUUUCAGAGAAAAUGAGAUCUGCACUGAAAAGCAUUGGAAUUUCCAAAUUGUAUAGUCACCAGGCAGACGCUAUACAAGCCUCCCUUCAUGGGAAGAAUGUUGUUGUAGCUACAAUGACAUCUAGCGGCAAAUCUCUUUGCUACAAUCUGCCAGUUCUAGAAGAGUUGUUGAAGAAUUCAUCAUCAUGUGCUUUGUAUAUAUUUCCAACAAAGGCAUUAGCUCAAGAUCAACUAAGAGCUUUGUUAUACAUGACAAAAGGAUUUGAUGUUGACUUAAAUAUUGGUAUAUAUGAUGGUGACACGUCUCAUAGUGAGAGGACAUGGUUACGUAGUAACUCUAGACUGUUGAUCACAAAUCCAGAUAUGUUACACAUAUCAAUCUUGCCCCACCAUCGGCAAUUUAGUCGGGUUUUAUCAAAUCUGAGGUUUGUGGUCAUUGAUGAAACUCAUACGUACAAGGGAGCAUUUGGAAGUCAUACUGCCCUUAUAUUAAGAAGGCUAAGGAGACUCUGUUCACAUGUAUAUGGAGCCGUUCCUUCUUUUGUUUUUUCUACUGCGACUUCAGCAAAUCCUCUUGAGCAUUCUAUGGAACUUGCAAAUUUACCAACCCUGGAGCUAUUUCAGAACGAUGGCAGUCCAUCUGCCAGGAAACUUUUCAUCCUUUGGAAUCCUAUUCUUCGUCCAAAAGAUAUCUUGAAGAAAGCUCAGUUUGCAAUUGGUAAUAAUGAGUUGGCAGAUGAAAGUGCUAAUUUUGUUCGUUCAAGCCCAAUUGUGGAUGUUUCACGCCUUUUUGCAGAAAUGGUUCAGCAUGGCCUUCGCUGCAUUGCAUUUUGUAAAUCACGGAAACUUUGUGAGCUUGUUUUAUGCUAUACACGCGAAAUUCUUCACGACACAGCCCCGCAUCUAGUGGAUUCCAUAUGUGCAUAUCGUGGUGGCUACAUUGCAGAGGAAAGAAGAAAGAUAGAGAGUGCAUUUUUUGGUGGUAAAAUUUGUGGUGUUGCUGCAACUAAUGCUCUUGAGUUGGGCAUUGAUGUUGGGGAAAUUGAUGUCACUCUGCAUCUAGGAUUUCCUGGUAGUAUUGCAAGCUUGUGGCAACAAGCUGGAAGAGGUGGGAGGAGAGAUAGACCAUCCCUUGCUGUCUAUGUUGCAUUCGGUGGGCCACUUGAUCAAUACUUCAUGAAAAAUCCUAAGAAACUUUUUGAGAGACCGAUUGAAUGCUGUCAUAUUGAUUCCAGAAACAAGCAGGUUCUUGAGCAACAUAUGGCCUGUGCAGCUCUUGAACACCCUCUGAAUGUGCAUUAUGAUGAGAAGUACUUUGGCUCUUGCUUAGAAAGUGUUUUGAUUUCUCUAAAAGCGAGAGGAUACUUGAGAUUUGAUCUGUCAUCGGUUCCUUCUUCUAGAAUAUGGCACUACAUUGGUCCAGAGAAAUCACCUUCACAAGCAGUCAAUAUCCGUGCAAUAGAAACGGUAAGAUACAGUGUCAUAGAUCAGAAAAAGAAUGAAGUCCUUGAAGAGGUAGAGGAAAGCAAGGCUUUCUUUCAGGUAUAUGAAGGCGCUGUGUACAUGUGCCAGGGGAAAACCUAUUUGGUUGAAAAAUUAGAUCUAUCUAACAAAACUGCUUUUUGCAAAGAGGCUGAUCUGAAGUAUUAUACGAAGACACGGGAUUAUACUGAUAUUCAUGUCAUUGGGGGUAAUAUUGCUUAUCCAGUAAAAGUUUCCACUAACAUGCUUCCAAAAACAAAUGCUCGAGCUCAUGUAUGCAAAGUAACUACUACUUGGUUUGGAUUUUAUCGCAUUUGGAGAGGAAGCAAUCAAAUCUUUGAUACUGUUGACCUAGCUCUUCCUCAAUAUUCAUACGAGUCGCAGGCAGUUUGGAUUCCAGUGCCACAGUCAAUAAAAGAAGCAGUAGUCAAGCAAAAUUAUGAUUUCCGUGGAGGUUUGCAUGCUGCUUCACAUGCUGUUUUACACGUAGUGCCUUUACAUAUAACAUGCAACAUGUCUGACUUGUCUCCUGAGUGUCCAAAUCCCCACGAUAGCCGAUAUUACCCUGAAAGAAUUCUAAUAUAUGAUCAACAUCCUGGAGGGUCUGGAAUUUCAGUUCAGGUUCAACCCUAUUUCACGAAGUUCCUAGCAGCUGCGCUAGAAGUUCUCACAUCUUGCUGCUGCUCAGCGGAAGUAGGUUGCCCUAGUUGUAUUCAGAGCUUUGCAUGCCAUGAGUAUAACGAGGUUUUACACAAGGAUGCAGCCAUUAUGAUCAUCAAGGGGAUUUUGGAUGCAGAGAGCUAGUACCUCAAAGUAUGUGCUGGCUAUUUUGAAGUCUAUUUAGGGAGAAAGCUCUCAUUAAGUUUUUAUUUAAGGGGAGCGGUAAAGAUUUUGAUCCACAGGAGCUCGAUGCCAGUUUUCCCGUGGAGACGAUGGUCGCUGAUUUCCUCGUGCCUGAGGGCUGGUGUGUGGACGGGAACACAAGUGUAUGUACCUUUAUAGGGAUGUCCACCUUCUGGUACUGCCAUCUAGGCUCUGCUGACCCGAGAUAUCCAACCUCUUAUCCUCGUUCUUUCACUUUUCACAUGCCCGCCACAACCUAGGCUUUUGUAUGAUGUUCACGUUUUUAACAUUGUUUCUGUAGUGUUAAUCAAUAUUCUGAUCGAAUAACCUACCUUUCUUUUCCUCUUUCA